rnacentral:rRNA from 1 species
AAAUAAUUUAUUUAGUUUAUUGAUUAUUGGGCUCUAAAAUAUGCACAUAUCGCCCGUCGCUCUCGUGAUAAAUGAGAUAAGUCGUAACAUAGUAGAUGUAUUGGAAAAUGUAUCUAGAUAGUCA